UGGCUCCGUGCCCGUCCACCGAACGGUCGGCAGGCGAUCCGCGUCGGUCGCGCGAGGUGGUAUGGUUCCCCAGAGGCCGGUUCUUGUGCUGCCUACCCCUUCAGGGGAAGAGUUCCAAACUUGAUGUAAGCCUCCAUCCGGCGCCCUCCAAAGGGCGCGGGAGGACAACGGAGCACCCCCCGCGUUCCACCGAGCCUCCUCGGUCGCGUGGCCCGCGGGGACGUGCGAUGCUCUCGGACCCAGCGAACGCCGUGGGC
rnacentral:misc_RNA from 1 species